rnacentral:rRNA from 1 species
AGUGAACGCUGGCGGUAGGCCUAACACAUGCAAGUCGAACGGCAGCACAGGAGAGCUUGCUCUCUGGGUGGCGAGUGGCGGACGGGUGAGGAAUACAUCGGAAUCUACUCUGUCGUGGGGGAUAACGUAGGGAAACUUACGCUAAUACCGCAUACGACCUACGGGUGAAAGCAGGGGACCUUCGGGCCUUGCGCGAUUGAAUGAGCCGAUGUCGGAUUAGCUAGUUGGCGGGGUAAAGGCCCACCAAGGCGACGAUCCGUAGAUGGUCUGAGAGGAUGAUCAGCCACACUGGAACUGAGACACGGUCCAGGCUCCUACGGGAGGCAGCAGUGGGGAAUAUUGGACAAUGGGCGCAAGCCUGAUCCAGCCAUACCGAGUGGGUGAAGAAGGCCUUCGGGUUGUAAAGCCCUUUUGUUGGGAAAGAAAUCCAGCUGGCUAAUACCCGGUUGGGAUGACGGUACCCAAAGAAUAAGCACCGGCUAACUUCGUGCCAGCCGCCGCGGUAA